UCAGCGGCGGACGGGUGAGUAACACGUGGGCAAUCUGCCCGAUACUCUGGGAUAACGCUUGGAAACGAGUGCUAAUACCGGAUGGUCUUCUUGGCCGCAUGGCCGAGAAGGAAAAGACGCGUUCGCGUCGGUGUCGGAUGAGCCCGCGGCGCAUUAGCUAGUUGGUGAGGUAACGGCCCACCAAGGCGACGAUGCGUAGCCGACCUGAGAGGGUGACCGGCCACACUGGGACUGAGACACGGCCCAG
rnacentral:rRNA from 1 species